rnacentral:lncRNA from 1 species
AAAGGGACUUUACUAUAGAGGCACUUGGUGCCAAGGUUACCACCUGGUGUACCUGGAAGGGCUUAGCUGCUUCAGUGUUUCUUGCACUCUAGCAGACAUCUCAGAGCUGACAGCCUAACUCUGUCAGUCCAGGUGGUUCAGGUGUCUGAGUACCGAUGACGGUACAAUAUGUGAUAUGUGGCAGACUGGUGUGUUCUUGCA